AGACUACAUUUGAAAAUUUGACGGGGCUUUUUGACGACAUUUAUCAUGAGAGCAUUUAAACAUAAAAAAUAUAAGCCUUGUUUUAUUUUUUGUUAUUUUACUAUGAGUAAUUGGGAAUUAUAGUUCUUAGUUAUUUAAGUUCUUAGUUAUUUAAGUCAGCUUAUAGCAAAUAGUAGUUCAGCUUAGAAUAAAUAGACAGCUUACGAUAGAUAGUAGUAGUCUUAGUUAUUUAUGACAACUAUAAUAAUUGUGGAGAAAAAAAAAACUAUCAAGGUUUUGCACUGAGACUCAUGUCUCAAAGUAGAAACCCUAUUUUGCACUGAGACUGAGUUUAUUGAAACCCUAGGUUGAUUAGUAAAAAAAAUCUCAGAUUACUUCAGAGAAAGUCUUAACUAUGGCUGGUUAAAGUAGACCAACAAGGAUUGCUUAGAACGUUGAAGGGGUUGUUGGCGAUUAGAAUUCUUUUUUAACAACAGCGCUAUUUUUAAUGGAGUUUGUUAAAAAAACACAUAUCUCGGCUGGGUACGUUGAACCAAAUGAACUUUUUAAAAAACGUGUUUAUAAAGCAAACUUUAUAUUUGAUAAUUUCAAAGAUUUCUUUGAAAAUAAAGGAGAUCUAAGCGCUGAGCAACGAGUUCAAUGAAAUAAUUACUAAAAAAGAUCACAAUUGAUGCGAUUUCAAAAAAAUUGUUUCGCUUAUACUUGACGUUCUAAGGGAUAACCUUUGGUUUUUGAUUUCCUUUGAUUAACGUUUGCGUCACAGUUCAAAUGACGAAAUUGAUUCUACUUAUGUCUUUAAAACA